AUUUAUGUAGUUUAAAAAAAACAUUUCAUUUUCAAUGAAAAAAAGGAAAAUUUUUCCCUUAAAUA
rnacentral:tRNA from 1 species